rnacentral:rRNA from 1 species
GUCGAACGAUGAAACUCUAGCUUGCUAGAGAAGAUUAGUGGCGGACGGGUGAGUAACAUUUAGGAAUCUGCCUAGUAGUGGGGGAUAGCUCGGGGAAACUCGAAUUAAUACCGCAUACGACCUACGGGUGAAAGGGGGCGCAAGCUCUUGCUAUUAGAUGAGCCUAAAUCAGAUUAGCUAGUUGGUGGGGUAAAGGCCCACCAAGGCGACGAUCUGUAACUGGUCUGAGAGGAUGAUCAGUCACACCGGAACUGAGACACGGUCCGGACUCCUACGGGAGGCAGCAGUGGGGAAUAUUGGACAAUGGGGGCAACCCUGAUCCAGCCAUGCCGCGUGUGUGAAGAAGGCCUUUUGGUUGUAAAGCACUUUAAGCAGGGAGGAGAGGCUAAUGGUUAAUACCCAUUAGAUUAGACGUUACCUGCAGAAUAAGCACCGGCUAACUCUGUGCCAGCAGCCGCGGUAAUACAGAGGGUGCGAGCGUUAAUCGGAAUUACUGGGCGUAAAGCGAGUGUAGGUGGCUCAUUAAGUCACAUGUGAAAUCCCCGGGCUUAACCUGGGAACUGCAUGUGAUACUGGUGGUGCUAGAAUAUGUGAGAGGGAAGUAGAAUUCCAGGUGUAGCGGUGAAAUGCGUAGAGAUCUGGAGGAAUACCGAUGGCGAAGGCAGCUUCCUGGCAUAAUAUUGACACUGAGAUUCGAAAGCGUGGGUAGCAAACAGGAUUAGAUACCCUGGUAGUCCACGCCCGUAAAAC